rnacentral:rRNA from 1 species
GCAAGUUGAACGGCAGCAUUAUCUGCUUGCAGAUAGAUGGCGAGUAGCGGACGGGUGAGUAAUACGUAAGAACCAAUCCUAGAGAGGGGGAUAACUUAAGGAAACUUGAGCUAAUACCGCAUAAUAUUGAGAAAUUAAAGGUCGCUAUGCAAAUAGCAAUCGCUCUAGGCUGGGCUUACGCCCGAUUAGCUUGUUGGUGGGGUAAUGGCCUACCAAGGCUACGAUCGGUAGCUGUUUUGAGAGGAAGAAC